rnacentral:rRNA from 1 species
CACGUAGGCGGACUUUUAAGUCAGGGGUGAAAUCCCGGGGCUCAACCCCGGAACUGCCUUUGAUACUGGAAGUCUUGAGUAUGGAAGAGGUAAGUGGAAUUGCGAGUGUAGAGGUGAAAUUCGUAGAUAUUCGCAGGAACACCAGUGGCGAAGGCGGCUUACUGGACGGUAACUGACGUUGAGGCUCGAAAGCGUGGGGAGCAAACA